UACAGAGGGUGCGAGCGUUAAUCGGAAUUACUGGGCGUAAAGGGCGCGUAGGUGGAAGACUAAGUCGGAUGUGAAAUCCCCGGGCUUAACCUGGGAAUGGCAUACGAUACUGGUCAUCUAGAGUUGGUUAGAGGGAAGUGGAAUUUCCGGUGUAGCGGUGAAAUGCGUAGAUAUCGGAAGGAACACCAGUGGCGAAGGCGGCUUCCUGGACCACAACUGACGCUGAGGCGCGAAAGCUAGGGGAGCAAACAGG
rnacentral:rRNA from 1 species